rnacentral:rRNA from 1 species
CGAUAAGUAGUGUGAAUUGCAGAAUUCAGUGAAUCAUCGAAUCUUUGAACGCAAAUGGCGCUCUUGGGUUCUCCCAGGAGCAUGUCUGUCUGAGUGUCU